GAUGAACGCUGGCGGCGUGCCUAAUACAUGCAAGUCGAGCGAACGGACGAGAAGCUUGCUUCUCUGAUGUUAGCGGCGGACGGGUGAGUAACACGUGGAUAACCUACCUAUAAGACUGGGAUAACUUCGGGAAACCGGGGCUAAUACCGGAUAAUAUUUUGAACCGCAUGGUUCAAAAGUGAAAGACGGUCUUGCUGUCACUUAUAGAUGGAUCCGCGCUGCAUUAGCUAGUUGGUAAGGUAACGGCUUACCAAGGCAACGAUGCAUAGCCGACCUGAGAGGGUGGUCGGCCACACUGGAACUGAGACACGGUCCAGACUCCUACGGGAGGCAGCAGUAGGGAAUCUUCCGCAAUGGGCGAAAGCCUGACGGAGCAACGCCGCGUGAGUGAUGAAGGUCUUCGGAUCGUAAAACUCUGUUAUUAGGGAAGAACAUAUGUGUAAGUAACUGUGCACAUCUUGACGGUACCUAAUCAGAAAGCCACGGCUAACUACGUG
rnacentral:rRNA from 1 species